GUGAAUCAUCAAAUCUUUGAACGCAUAUUGCACUCUCUGGUAUUCCGGAGAGUAUGCCUGUUUGAGGGUCAGUUAAAUAAAAAUCGGGGUUUUUGCCACCUUUGGUGGUGACGCUUCGGAAUUGGGUCGUCUUUACCUUUCGGUUAAGUGACUUAAAAUUUUUGGAAGGUAAUUGGAGAAGGAAUUAAAAUUAAUUGGGAAGGUUUGGAA
rnacentral:misc_RNA from 1 species